UUUUUUUUUUUUUCACCAGUCAUCACAUCUCAUUUAUCUGUUUCUCUUUGUCAAUUGAACUCCCUUACUCGCACAGCUCGUUUAUUUCUAGCUUAUAAUGGAACUAUGGCACUUGGUGCAGCACUAAUUUAACAUCUUUUUCAUUUUUUUAAUUAUUUAUCAUUUUAUUAUUCAUAAUUAUCAUCGUCUAUAAUCUUUCUUCAGAAUUAAUAAUAUUAUUAUUAUUAUUAUUAGUAUUAUUAUUAUUAUUAUUACUAUUAUUUAGUAGUAGUAGCUCUUGCUUGAAAUACGCUUUGAAAAUGAAAAUGAAUUAUAAAUUACACGACACACUUAUAGUAAUUAAUAAAUCAGUGCGCUUUAACGUCAUAUAUGGUACAGAUAUUUUAUUACAAGGUAAUACAGGCAAAUUUUAUUUCAUUAUUUAUAUUAUUAAACUGCUUAAUAGUUAUUUAUUUUAAUUUAUUUGACGUGAGUCGACUUUUUCACACGAUCGCAUCAAGAUUACACAUCAUAUGCUUUUAAUAUAUUAAUUAUUAAACUAUUAUUAUUAUUAUUUUGCUGUUGGAGUUUGCAGUAGGCAGUGUUGAGUUUAUUUUUUUUUUUGCUGACACUUCGGAAGACUUUAAAUAAGAUUUCUAACGGAUCUCCGAUGCGAUCUAAAUUAUGUGGAAGAGUCAAGAGUCAAUUUAUCUUAUUUUUUUUUUUUUAUCUAUCUUUAUACUGUCUCUAUUCAAUUAAAAAUUUUGCCUGAAUCGCCUUUAAGACACUAUCUUAAUUAAUAAAAACUGUACUGUACAAGUCAACAAGACGAUUUUAUUUCUUUUAUUAAAUUGUAAAAUGCACUACAAAGCUAAUUUUCUUUAUUAUUUAUUUUAAAUUAUUUCUGUAGGCCUGUUUGCAUUGGACUAUUUUCAAAAUUAAUAAUUUUGUUUAUCUGCUUCUGUUUUUUAUGUUCUUUUUAUUAAUGAGAGAAACGUUUUACUUUAAAUUUAUUAAAACACAAAUUUAUUUUAUUUUCUCGUAUAAUUUUUUUUAUUUAAAUUUAAAAUUUAUAAAAAGAAAGUUAAUAAUGGAAAUUAUGAACACGGAUAAAACGACGAUCUAUAAAUAAGGAUCGAAGAGUUAUAAUUUAUUUGUGUGAACAAUAUAUAUCAAUGCGAGGUUUUACAAUGGAUUAACACUUUUUGCGCAUUAUCAUUGUCAUUAUUACAUUUGUUCCUUUCUUUCAUUCUUUGUCAUUAUUAAUUCAUUGCUAGAAUCUCAUCAAAUUGUUCACACAUACCGCGAUGAUGAUAAAAGCUCUCGUGGAAUAUUUAAUAACACAGAUGCGAAAAAAAUCCAUGUAGUGCAUGCAUGUAAUUAAUCUUUCGUUCACUUUCAAAUAUUUAUAUCAUUUUAUUUUAUUUUUAUUUACCUCACUAGUUCUUUAUUAUUCAUUUAAAUAUAAAUGGAACAAGAAUUUCAAUUAAUCACUAUCUAAAUAUUUCAUAGCAUUUAAAUUAUUGCUGUAUUGGAUUUUUCAAUCCACUGUACACUUUUAUAAAUAAUACCGCCAUUAUUUACGACAAAAAUGAAAUUAAAUUAGUAUUUUGUAAUGAAAAAAACAAAAAAAAAAAAACAUUAUUAUUUUAAAUAAAAGUUACGUUAUUGUAAAAUUAUAUUAAAAGAAUAGAGAAAUAUCGUAUACAAGUUCUCUGAAGGAUAGAAAAAUAAAGAUAUUAAUUAAGAAUAUAUAUAUAUGCAUAUAUAUAUAUUUUUUUUAGUAUUAUUUUUUUAAUAAUAAUAAUAAUAGUAUUAUAAUCGAUACGUUAUUUAUAUGUACUUAGAAUUAUGUAUAUAUUUAUAUAUAGUGUGUUCGCAUGUGUGAUUAUUAUAAUUAUUACAUAUAUAAAUAUAAAUAUAUAUUUAUAUAUAUAAUAGUUUAAGUGUAGUGGAGAAGUUGUGGCGACAGAUUAAUUAUGUACAGAAUACAAGUAAACAUCAACCUUUCUUUUUUUUGCCUUAUCAUUUUCUUUAAUUCACAUAAUUAUUAAAUUUUAAAAACCACAAAUCGUUUAAUUAUUAUUUUAAUUCGUGGACGAGUGUAUGAAUGUGAUUCACAAUUUCUUACUGCUAUAUGUUAUAUUGUUUAUUCGUUGAACAAAAAAAAAUUUACUUUAGUUUAUUUUAUUUUAUAAAAUAAUAAUAUUAAUGUUAAUAAUAAUAAUAAUGAUAAUGAUAGUAAUAAUAAUAGUAAAUUAAUAUUAAAAUACGAAUACACAAAAAACUAUGGCAACUAUACGGUAGUAAUGGCAAGUAUGAAUUGACGUACAAAAAAAAUACAAAAUACAAAUGACAUGUGACAUUGACAUAAACUUAAUAAAAUUGUUUUGUAAUUUUUAAAUAAUUUGUUUUUUUUUUUUUUUUUUUUUUAAUAAUGUCAUUUACAAUAGAUGCGAUAAAUAUAAUGGAUAUAAGAAUAAAAUAAACAUUAAUUAAUAAAAUGUGGAUGAUAAUAAUAAUGAUAAUGAUGAUGUUAAUGAUGGGGAGGUGCGACGUACAACGCGUCAAACAAAAGGCAGUUUCAAAACGAUUAUUUAUUUAUAAUUUUUUUGUCAUUAUUAUUAUUAUUACUAUUAAUUUUUUUUUUAAACCUUUCCAGAGAAUACUAUUUAUUUAUUACAGUCUUACUUGUUUCUUUAGACUUAAUACAUUAGUUUUAUCCAUUUACAAUAAUAUUUUAUCGUUCUAAAAUAUUAUUGUUUUUUUUUUUUACUGUUGUUUUACAACAUUUAAUCGAUCACUUUAUUUUUUUUUUUUUUAACCAAUUAACAGGUUGGUUAGUCCAGAGGCUUUUUUUUUGUUUGCUGUUGACCUCGGAAAGUCAAUAGUUUUCGCGAGGUACAUAAAAAAACUGGGAAAAACUUAAAAACAAAACGAAAAAAAAAAAAAUAUUAAAAUGAAAUGGACAACUUAAAUACAACAGGCUCACGUUAAUUAAAACUAAUCUAUAAAAAAAAAAAAAAAUAAUAAUAAUAAUAAUAAAAAAUAUUUAAAACACAUGUAACAAUACGAAAUACAUAUAUUCUAAAAUUGUGCUACAGCCGUAAACAUUCACUAAAAUAUAAUUAAUGGAAGUCCAUUUUUAUUUAUUACUUUUUUUUUAUAUAUCAUUAAUAUUCAAAUUAAUUAUAUUCAUAAUCAUACGAAGCGCAUAUCUAGAUUAAUGGUAUUUUAAUGACGAAAAAAAAAAAAAAAAAAAUAGAAUAAAUAAAAUAAAAAAAUGCAAAUGGUUUUAAGGGAAUGUAUAUUAGUAGAUCAUGAUGUUGGAAGAUCAAAAUGUAAUCUUUAUGUUUAUAUUAUCGGUUUUGUGAUAUUUUAUUUAUUUAUUUAUAUUUGGCUGUAGCACGAAACAAAUUUUUUUCAUUUUUAUUUUUAAUAGCAUUAUUCAACACUCUUCGAAACGACAUUAAGCGCAAUAACGUCAAAACCACAGGAAAAAAUAGUUAUAAUAAGAGCAACUGUAGCAGUUGCAUUUCAGUUGUUGAAUAAUAAAAAAAAAAAAAAAAAAAAGAAAAAAAAAAUAGAAGAAAAUGUCGCAGAUCACCAAGUUUUUUAGAAUGUCAGGCCAAGCGAGACAUACCUGUGAUUUUAUAUAGAAUUUAACCACGUCAUACAUUUGUGUCGGUAUAAAUGUGAGAACGAGAACGAGAACAUUUAUAGUGUAUUAUAUAUUUAUACAUAUAUGUAUAUGUACGAGUACAUACGCAUGAGCCGUCACAAUUGGUGAACAAAUGACAAAAUAUGAUAGUAGUAUUGAAUUGCGUGAUAAUAACAAAUUAAUAACAGUCAUUUCGUGCGAUGACACACUUAUCACAUUUUAUACAGUUUCUUUUUCUAUCCGUGACUGACAAAUACAUAAAAAAAAAAAAAAAAGAAUAAAAAAUACCCGAUCGAUUUGUCGCAUCGAGACAAUAUUUUAAUAAUAAUGAUAAUAAUAAUAUAAUGAAACACGAAUGAAAACAAGGUAACCACACGAAAUAACUUUAGUCUAUUUAAAAAUCACCUAGCAUUUACGUGAAUCAGAUUUAUGUCGGAAUAAUAACUUCAAUUCAACAUUUAUCUUUUGUGUGAUGACAUGUAUGAUUUGAUCAAAAAUUUUACACACAAAAAAAUCAUCAGAAUCACUUGAAGUACUAAAGUCUUAAUGUUAAACAUUAAAGAAAAAAUAAAAUAUUUUGGUACGUAAAAUAGGGUCUCGAAACCUGACUUAAAGUCAUAUUUUAAUUAACAAUAAUUCAAAAAAAUAUCAAUAAUCAAAUUACUGUCAAAAGUCCAAAUUAUUUAAAAAAGUUAUUCUAUGCGAACGAGGAUCGAGAUGUGUAGCGUAAUUGACAGAGGCAAAGAGGUAUAGUACCCGAGGAUAUUUCUCGUAUUCGCUAAUUUUUUUUAUCCCACCCUCUCAUUCGUUCUUCCGGUGGGCUAAAAUAACUUUUACAAAAUAUAAUUAAAAGGGAAAGCUAAAAUUCAAAACUCACGCUAACUCUCAUCUCGCUCGCGUCGUCGACAUUAUUAUUAUGUUUUUUCUUCAUUUUUUAUUAUUAUUAUUAUUAUUUUUUUUUUUUUUUGAAUAACUAUUAUACAGUAUCAUGCUCUGUAUGCAGAGUAUGGUCAUUCCUUUUUUUUAUUUUUUAAUUAUUCUUAUUAAAAACUUAUUCUUAAUUUAUUUUCAUUUUAUUAUGCACUUCGCCCUUGGGCAGUUUAAGACCAUCACACUUUUAGAAUUGGUGUUUUCAAAUGAUUAUUAAUUUUUUUUCUUUUGUUAUUUCUUAUCAAUGUUUUAGUAUUUAUUUUUCUCGUUUUCGGUAUAGUUUAGUUUACUUCAAUUCAUUUAGCUUUUUAUUUUUUUUUUUUUGUUGAUGCGUGACCUCUUUACAAGUAUGGAUCAACGUACGUACGAAUAUAUAUAUCGUCUACAGAUUUAUUUUCACACGCGUUGAUUAUAUUUUUAUCUAAUAAUUUUUUUUUGAUUAAUCUGAGUGUGUAAAUCGCAUUAUAGAAAACACAUUAAACACUCCUGGGACUAAUUUGUAAAAUUAAAAGUUAUUUACGAUUUAAUCUCAGUUGCUCGUAAAUUUUUUUUUUCCAUCGAAUGUAAAUUAAAAAAAAAACAAGAAAAAAAAUACGUUCGAUAGUUCUUAAUAGAUAUUGUUAUUAUUUAAAUAAUAGUCCUAAUUACUUAAAAAAAAAACGUCAAUACAUAAUCACAAGUAUUACAUACACUUAAAUUUUAAAUAUAUAUAUGAUUAUUUAAAAUUUAUUGUUUAUAAAUCAAUCAUUCAUUCCUACAAACAUCCACGAGUGUGCGCGUAAUUUCGCUCCUUGAAUCUCAUUUAUCAUUAUCAAUUACUGGGAACAACUUUCAUUAAAAAUGUUUAUGUACUAAUCACUCCCUGAUUUCAUCAAUCGAUUAUUCUGUUGAUCAGUUAGUUAUCUUUUUUUUUUUUUUUUUUAAUAGAACCUUUUACACAAUAUAGCUGUGGCAGUGUAUUAUAUACAUAAUAUUGGCUCAACACGAGGCAUUCACGAGUUGAUCAAAUAAUAUCGAUGAUAUCAAUUAAUUGAUAGAACACAAGAAAAAAUAUUUUACCGACAUAAUAAAUGUGUUCUCACAAACAUUGACGCAAUCGCAUGAGCGCAUAAGAACGAAUGGAACAAAAAUAAAUAUAAAAUAAAAUUGACACAAUG